AAUAUUAUAUCCUGAACUCAUUUCAACUGCGUGUGUAAAUCACCACCUGUAUCUGCAGAGAAAGUGUUUUAACCCAGCCUGCUGCCCCCAACCAACAUUAUUUCCAGCUUUGAACUUAUCCUGGGAUUGCUUUUGCUAGCCAGCUACUCUGCAGCUAAAGUGCUAUUGUUCCCUUUAAUAAUAGCCUAAGCAACUGUUCCUUUUUAAUGCAAAGUCCUGGAACUUAACAAGUUGAUUACAAGAUAGUGACUCACUUUUUAUCUCUUUCUGUGCCUCCACCCCACCUAGAUCUUUCUGCUCCUGCAAAUUUUAGUGAGUGGGUUACCUAGAACACCAGUCCAAUAAAGGUUGGAGUAGAAUACCAGACAAGAAAAGGAUGAGCUCAUUUCUCCUCUAUGCUGUCAGUCUUUGAACACAGUGAGACCUAUUAGCCAGAAAAUGCAUGACACAGGAGAAGAUGUACCCUCAUCUGUUCAGUGAGAGAUGUGCAAAUCAACAUCAACACAGAACUGCUGAAGAAAAAAAAUAUGUGUGUGGAUUAUAUAUAUACAUAUAAGUGUGUGUAUAUAUAUAUAUAUAUAUAUUUACAUAUAUAGUAUGGGCUAUUUCACCUUUGCAAGCUGGGAGCCAUUAAGUAAUGGCUACCACCACUCCCCCACCCCCUUCAGUAAAACACAUCCUGAACAUUGGGCCCAUGUUUUCAAGAAGAAUGUGCCCCACUGCCCCUUGGAAACUCCAUUUCAUUUACUUGGUUCAGUUAGUUAAUGACGGUCCAUUUUGACUCAAAUAUCCAGUUCCCUUUCAUCAAUCAUGUCUUUCUGGACUGUCAGUUUUAGGGCAAGGAUUACAAAGCCCUUCCAUGCAGAUAUCCACAGAGAAAGACCCAGACCCACAUCCCCAUUUAGGAUUGCUUAGGGACUCAUUUCUUCCGCUUCCUUCCAAAUGAAAAGAAUGAGCUAUGUGAAAGGGGAAAACCCCACUGGAAAAUGAAUGUUGGUGACUCAAGUGUUAAUCUAGAAAGUCUUAUGAUUUGGUGCUGGAAAAGGGCAUUGUAAUAAGAUGGUUCUUUAUACCAUGCAAACCAGGGGAAUACAAAACACUGUCAACCAUGAAAAUAAGAUUUAAUUUGGAAUCACAACACAUAGGGUUUUUUCCACUUUAAAUUCUUUUUAUUCAUUCAUAUUUGUUAUAAAUAUUCAAUAGAAAU
rnacentral:lncRNA from 1 species